rnacentral:rRNA from 1 species
UACGAGGGGCCCAAACGUUAUUCGGAAUUACUGGGCUUAAAGAGUUCGUAGGCGGCAUGAAAAGCAGGGUGUGAAAGCCCUCGGCUCAACCGAGGAAUUGCGCUCUGAACUGUCGUGCUAGAGGAAUCUAGAGGUGAGCGGAACUGAUGGUGGAGCGGUGAAAUGCGUUGAUAUCAUCAGGAACACCGGAGGCGAAGGCGGCUCACUGGGGAUUUUCUGACGCUGAGGAACGAAAGCCAGGGGAGCGAACGGG